rnacentral:rRNA from 1 species
UACGUAGGGGGCAAGCGUUGUCCGGAAUCAUUGGGCGUAAAGCGCGUGUAGGCGGCCCGGUAAGUCCGCUGUGAAAGUCCAGGGCUCAACCCUGGGAUGCCGGUGGAUACUGUCGGGCUCGAGUCCGGAAGAGGCGAGUGGAAUUCCUGGUGUAGCGGUGAAAUGCGCAGAUAUCAGGAGGAACACCAAUGGCGAAGGCAGCUCGCUGGGACGGUACUGACGCUGAGGCGCGAAAGCGUGGGGAGCGAACAGG